AGCCGAAAGAGAGCGAGUGAAGAAAAUAUUAAAAAAUAAAAAUAAGCUCCGCCUCUCUCUCUUCCUCCCUCGCGCUCGAUUCACACCACACCUCACAGCGGUUCCUCCUCCUCCUCCUCCUGGCUGCUUCCCCCUCAAUCCCACAAUCCGCCGGCCGAGCAAUUUCCCCAUGCUCCCGGCCUCCCGGAUGACCCCCGCCCCGACCCGCCGCUCCUUCUGCUGCUGCUUCGCCUGCUCGCUCAAUCCCCCCGGAGCCGCCGUCGCCGCCGCCGCCCGCUAGUCCUCGCCCGGGGGAGCAGAAGAUCCGGUCUUGGCCGCCUCCGUCGCCAAGGGCUGAUCGUGGGGUGGAGAGCGUGCCGAGCUCGAGGGGCAGUGCUUUUGACAGAGAAUUUGAGCCCAGCGGAUGAACAUGUGUGAGAAAGAUCAAAAUUUCCACUGGGCGUACGACCUUUUCCAUGACCCUUUUGCCGCUCCCAACAGCUACUAUGGACAUCCUAAUGGUUACAGUGACAACAGCUAUUGUGACUACAAUUAUGCUAGAGAUGCAUCACAUCCCGAUGAGACAUAUUUGCAUUCUUCUGCACUUACGUGCGAUAUGUACAACCCACAAGUAGGCAUGUACCAUCCUGGAAAUGUUGGCGGGCAGGAGCAUGACGCAGUCUAUGUAGAUCCGUCUAGUUCCUCUUCAUACCCUGGCAGUGACGAUUGUUUUGAAAUGGAGGAAGAAGUAGGGAAGAGAUUUUACCCCAUGGUCCCAGUUCCCCAUGUCCCUAAAAUUAAUGGUGAAAUUCCAUCACUUGACGAAGCCAGCAUGGACCAUGAAAGGCUGUCAGACAGGUUGAGGUUGUAUGAACUAACUGAGAACAAGGUGAAAGGUGAUGGCAAUUGUCAGUUCCGUGCACUAUCAGAUCAGCUGUACCAAACUCCGGACCACCAUGAGUUUGUGAGGGAGCAGAUAAUUAGCCAGGUAAUCAACAGUAGUAAUCUUUCUUUCGUGAUCCUUAGCUUCAUUCUUUGUUUUCACACUUUCAUCUUUCGUCUGAUAAAUAAUCGUUUCCAGCUUAAGAGUAACCGGGAAGCCUAUGAUGGAUACGUCCCCAUGGCAUAUGAUGAGUAUCUGGAGAAAGUAUCACGAAAUGGUGAAUGGGGUGACCAUGUGACUUUACAGGCUGCUGCUGACAAGUACGGAGUGAAGAUUUUCGUCAUGACCUCGUUCAAGGAUACGUGCUACAUCGAGAUCCAACCCAAGGUUCAGAAGUCCAACAAAGUGGUGCUGUUGAGCUUUUGGGCAGAGGUUCACUACAACUCGAUAUUUCCACAGAACGGUGAGUAGCAUGCCUGCCUGCCAUUGAGAUACAUGCAAUGCGUGUCCAGUCCCCAUCGCAAACACGCUCCGAGGUUGCAGCACACGGCGAAGAAGAGGAGAUGGUGGCCGUUCUCGCAGCACCACCAUUGAUGAGGCUCUCUUCCCCCGCCUCGGCGCGUGUACUCUGACGGCGUUCCGGCGUGCAAAGCACUCUUGUUUCUCCACCGAGAUGGAUGGCCCCGGGGCAACGCACUCCUGGUCCCGGGAGGGGUCGUCGCGGCGUGCGCUCGCUCUGACAGGAGGAGGAGAGAAAAGGAAAAAGGCGUUAUGGUUGUCUGAGAUAAUAUUAUAGAUACAUGGAAUGGAAGGAAUAAUGAACAUGCGACCUGUCCCGUAUAUAGUUUUGGGUCGCAUUGCAGGCUCUGUUUAUGUAUUUACAUACAAAAUUUUGCCGGAAUGAGGCUACAUACAGUUAAUCAUUCAUUUGGAAUACAAAUGAUAUGGAUGGUGAUACUAAUAAUAAUAACUGGGUGAAUGCAGUGUUAAAGAAUC